AACGAACGCUGGCGGCAUGCCUAACACAUGCAAGUCGAACGAGACCUUCGGGUCUAGUGGCGCACGGGUGCGUAACGCGUGGGAACCUGCCCUUAGGUUCGGAAUAACUCCCCGAAAGGGGUGCUAAUACCGGAUAAUGUCUUCCGACCAAAGAUUUAUCGCCUUUGGAUGGGCCCGCGUUGGAUUAGCUUGUUGGUAGGGUAAAAGCCUACCAAGGCGACGAUCCAUAGCUGGUUUGAGAGGAUGAUCAGCCACACUGGGACUGAGACACGGCCCAGACUCCUACGGGAGGCAGCAGUGGGGAAUAUUGGACAAUGGGCGAAAGCCUGAUACAGCAAUGCCGCGUGAGUGAUGAAGGCCUUAGGGUUGUAAAGCUCUUUUACCCGGGAUGAUAAUGACAGUACCGGGAGAAUAAGCUCCGGCUAACUCCGUG
rnacentral:rRNA from 1 species